CAUCGCGAUGUGUAAGAAUCUGUAAUUCUAUUUGAAAAACAUCCGCUUCAGGUUUUACGAUAAAAGUCCCACGUCAUAGUUACUAGAGCACUUUAUAAGACUGAUUAAUCAUUGCGGAAAAUCAAUUUGUAAAAUAUCAAAUUGUCGAGGUUUUCAGGCCAAGGUUCAAAGUCCAGGCAGGGGUAAAAGUCAUUGGUAAGUGUAAAAAGUUCAAGAUAUGGGUUGAUGAUUGAAGGUGAAGGUGAAAAGUUGAGGACGAGCGUAUAUUGUUCCAAAAGCCACACGUUGCUGAGGUGUCGAGUGAAAAACGCCAACCCGCUUCACCCACAAGGAUGAUACGAUUUCUAAAUCGGGCGCGCCAAUGAUUUUACAAUAAAGCUAAGAAGAGUUUAAAGUGCCUAUGUCACCAAAAUUUUGCUAUUUCAAUUAUCUUUUCAUUCAACACAAAUUUUAAAAUGACAAUAGACUUUCUGAAACAGUUGAUGCAUAACUUUUUUCAUUCUCGAUGUAUUGAGCUUUUUGCAAUGUCUAAUUUGUACAAUCAUAGACGUCACGUUGUAUAAUGAAGCUGUAAAGUGUUCGUGCAGUGUUGGUUACGGUGGCUCACAAGGGACACCACACAAAA